UAGGGAAUAUUGGUAAUGGGCGAAAGCCUGAACCAGCAACGCCGCGUGUGCGAUGAAGGCCUUUGGGUCGUAAAGCACUUUUUGGAGGGAUGAGGAAGGACAGUACCCCCAGAAUAAGCCUUGGCUAACUACGUGCCAGAAGCCGCGGUAACACGUUGGAGGCAAGCGUUAUUCGGAUUUACUGGGCGUAAAGCGCUUGCAGGUGGUUCGGGAAGUUGGAUGUGAAAGCUUCUUGCGUAGCUUGGAGAGGUCGUUGAAUACUUCCGAACUUGACAGUGAGAUAGGGAGGUGAAAGUCCGUGGGUAGUGGUGAAAUGCGAAGUGAUCCGGAGGAACACCAGUAGAGAAAGCAGCCUCCUGGUCCAUUACUGACGCUCAGACGCGAAAUCUAGGGUAGCAAAC
rnacentral:rRNA from 1 species